rnacentral:lncRNA from 1 species
GAAAAAGAGAGUUGGAUUUCUUAAUAAGUUACGAGGAUCUAACUGUUAAAAUGUGUCUAGUUUUAAAAUAUUUGUUAUGUCAGCAUUUAGGCUGUACUUAAUGUUGUGUGUAUGUGUUUGUGUGUUCCAAGGGAACUCUUGGUGACAUAACGGGGCAAAGACCACACUUUGGACGGUACUUCUAACAAACUGCUGGGAUCAUGGUACCUAUGAGGACAACACACACUGCUGGGAUCAUGAUUCCUGCAGCAGUGUGUGUGUGUGUGUGUGUGUGUGUGUGUGUGUGUGUGUGUGUGUGUGUGUGUGUGUGUGUGUGUGUGUGUGUGUGUGUGUGUGUGUGUGUGUGUGUGUGUGUUGUCCUCAUAGCGAUCAUGGAAGCAGCAGUGUGUGGUGGGUUCGCUGUAAAAUGGCGGGUAGGUCCAGUGUGUGGUGGGGUCGAUGUAAAAUGGCGGGUAGGUCCAGUGUGUGGUGGGGUCGCUGUAAAAUGGCGGGUAGGUCCAGUGUGUGGUGGGGUUGAUGUGAAAUGGUGGGUAUGUCCCGUGUGUGGUGGGGUUGCUGUGAAACGGCAGGUAGGUCCAGUGUGUUGUGGGGUUGCUGUAAAAUGGCGGGUAGGUCCAGUGUGUGGUGGGGUCGCGGUAAAAUGGUGGGUAGGUCCAGUGUGUGGUGGGGUCGAUGUAAAAUGGCGGGUAGGUCCAGUGUGUGGUGGGGUUGAUGUAAAAUGGCGGGUAGGUCCAGUGUGUGGUGGGGUCGAUGUAAAAUGGUGGGUAGGUCCAGUGUGUGGUGGGAUUGAUGUGAAACGGCAGGGAGGUCCAGUGUAAGAUGCAGUCAGUAUAAAGUUUAAUGAAUAACAUGCAAAAGUAGCAGGAAUGUGAAUGGCCAGGAAACUCCCGUUGAAGUUCAG